rfam:Gorilla gorilla gorilla genomic chromosome, chr2B, whole genome shotgun sequence
GCUGGGCAUGGUGGCUCUUGCCUGUAAUCCCAGCACUGUGGGAGGCUGAGGUCGGUGGAUCACUUGAGGUCAGGAGUUUGAGACCAGCCUGGCCAACAAGGCGAAACCCCGUCUCUACUAAAAAUANNNNNNNNNNUAUUUUUAGUAGAGACGGGGUUUCGCCUUGUUGGCCAGGCUGGUCUCAAACUCCUGACCUCAAGUGAUCCACCGACCUCAG